rnacentral:rRNA from 1 species
ACGGUACCUGAAGAAGAAGCACCGGCUAACUACGUGCCAGCAGCCGCGGUAAUACGUAGGGUGCGAGCGUUAAUCGGAAUUACUGGGCGUAAAGCGUGCGCAGGCGGCUUUGUAAGACAGGUGUGAAAUCCCCGGGCUUAACCUGGGAACUGCGCUUGUGACUGCAAGGCUCGAGUGCGGCAGAGGGGGGUGGAAUUCCACGUGUAGCAGUGAAAUGCGUAGAGAUGUGGAGGAACACCGAUGGCGAAGGCAGCCCCCUGGGUCGACACUGACGCUCAUGCACGAAAGCGUGGGUAGCAAACAGGAUUAGAUACCCUGGUAGUCCACGCCCUAAACGAUGCCAACUAGGUGUUGGGGAAGGAGACUUCCUUAGUACCGUAGCUAACGCGUGAAGUUGGCCGCCUGGGGAGUACGGUCGCAAGAUUAAAACUCAAAGGAAUUGACGGGGACCCGCACAAGCGGUGGAUGAUGUGGAUUAAUUCGAUGCAGCGCGAAAAACCUUACCUACCCUUGACAUGCCAGGAAUCCUGCUGAGAGGCGGGAGUGCUCGAAAG